rnacentral:rRNA from 1 species
GAUGAACGCUGGCGGCGUGCCUAAUACAUGCAAGUCGAGCGAAGCGGGGACAGGUGAGUAACACGUGGAUAACCUCCUUUAAGUCUGCGAUAAAUUCGGGAAACCGGUGCUAAACCGGCUACUUAUGGAUGGAUGCGCGCUGCAUUAGCUAGUUGGUAAGGUAACGGCUUACAAAGGCAACGAUGCAUAGCCGACCGGAGAGGGUGAUCGGCCACACUGGAACUGAGACACGGUCCAGACUCCUACGGGAGGCAGCAGUAGGGAAUCUUCCGCAAUGGGCGAAAGCCUGACGGAGCAACGCCGCGUGAGUGAGGAAGGUCUUCGGAUCGUAAAACUCUGUUAUUAGGGAAGCGGUACCUAAUCAGAAAGCCACGGCUAACUACGUGCCAGCAGCCGCGGUAAUUC